AGCUCUACCUUAGUUUUUUUGUUAAACUAAACAAGACCUCAGACUUAAGAGCUAUUCAAAUAAGGCACAGCUUAUUUGAAAUAGGACACAACCUACAACAUAGGGUAACCAAGAGUAAUUUAAAUAAAGUGGGCCUAAAAGCAGCCAUCUUUAAAAAAGCGUUAAAGCUUAACUAUUCCCACUCACAAUAUCUAAAGCCCUCACUAACCCCUCAUUAAUAUUGAACAGUUUUAUACUCAUAUAAAAGCUAUUAUGCUAGAACUAGUAACAAGAAAUUGCCUUUCUCCUAAAUGUAAGUAUACGCCAAAAUAAACCCUAUUGGCUAUUAACGCAAAUGCUAAACUAUAGCAACACCCACUAGAAAACCCUAUAACUCCCAACGUUAACCUUACACCAGAACAUUCCAGGAAAGAUUAAAAGAAAAAGAAGGAACUCGGCAAAUCAUAGCCUCGCCUGUUUACCAAAAACAUCGCCUCUUGCAAAACAUAAGAGGUCCAGCCUGCCCAGUGACAAAGUUCAACGGCCGCGGUACCCUAACCGUGCGAAGGUAGCAUAAUCACUUGUUCUUUAAAUGAGGACUCGUAUCAACGGCACUACGAGGGCUAUACUGUCUCCUUUUUCCAAUCAGUGAAACUGAUCUCCCCGUGAAGAAGCGGGGAUUAAAAUAUAAGACGAGAAGACCCCAUGGAGCUUUAAACUCUCUGUACACUUCUGUGUUCCUACAUCAUUAGACAUAAGAAACCUGCACACUAGUUUUAGGUUGGGGGGACCACGGAGUACAAUUUAACCUCCGUAACAAAUGGGUUAAUUACCCUUAUCCACGAGAUACACCUCUAAGAAUUAUUGAACUAAUGCUUAUGACCCGAUAUUCGAUCAAUGAACCAAGUUACCCUGGGGAUAACAGCGCAAUCUACUUCAAGAGCCCAUAUCGACAAGUAGGUUUACGACCUCGAUGUUGGAUCAGGGUAUCCCGGUGGUGCAGCCGCUACCAAUGGUUCGUUUGUUCAACGAUUAAAACCCUACGUGAUCUG
rnacentral:rRNA from 1 species